rnacentral:rRNA from 1 species
GACGAACGCUGGCGGCGUGCCUAAUACAUGCAAGUUGAGCGCUGAAGGUUGGUACUUGUACCAACUGGAUGAGCAGCGAGCGGGUGAGUAACGCGUGGGGAAUCUGCCUUUGAGCGGGGGACAACAUUUGGAAACGAAUGCUAAUACCGCAUAAAAACUUUAAACACAAGUUUUAAGUUUGAAAGAUGCAAUUGCAUCACUCAAAGAUGAUCCCGCGUUGUAUUAGCUAGUUGGUGAGGUAAAGGCUCACCAAGGCGAUGAUACAUAGCCGACCUGAGAGGGUGAUCGGCCACAUUGGGAAUGGGACACGGCCCAAACUCCUACGGGAGGCGGCAGUAGGGAAUCUUCGGCAAUGGACGAAAGUCUGACCGAGCAGCGCGGCGUGAGGGAAGAAGGUUUUCGGAUCGUAAAACUCUGUUGGUAGAGAAGAACGUUGGUGAGAGUGGAAAGCUCAUCAAGUGACGGUAACUACCCAGAAAGGGACGGCUAACUACGUG